UCUUGCUUUAGGAAGCGGAAGACUAAUGACCGAAGCUUCAAGACUUUGACAUGUGUGAAAACAUGAAAUGACCCUUGGCUCUUAUUGUUCUUGCUGGUGUGGUAUGUUCACGGCUGAAAAGAUGGUCAGAAGGGGAAAGGAGGAAGUGAGAAGAAAGAAACAGGGAAAUGGCUGGAGUGCGAUGGCAUGAUCUUGGCUCACGGCAAACUCCGCCUCCCUGGUUCAAGUGAUUCUCCUGCCUCAGCCUCCCGAGUAGCCGGGAUUACAGGCAUGUGCCACCAUGCCCCGUUGGCCAGGCUGGUCUCGAACACCUUACCUCAGGUGAUCCUCCCACCUUUGGGAUUACAGGAACUGACUCAGCGCAAGAAGACAGCUUCGACUCCUUGUGAUUUCAUCCCUAACCAAUCAGCACUCCUGGCUCACUGGCUUCCCCCAACCCACCAAAUUGUCCUUAAAAACUCUGCUCUCCAAACGCUGGGGGAGACUGAUUUGAGUAAUAAUAAAACCCUGGUCUCCUGCA
ensembl:lncRNA PCED1B-AS1 PCED1B antisense RNA 1